UACGUAGGUGGCAAGCGUUGUCCGGAUUUACUGGGCGUAAAGGAUGCGUAGGCGGACAUUUAAGUCAGAUGUGAAAUACCCGAGCUUAACUUGGGUGCUGCAUUUGAAACUGGGUGUCUAGAGUGCAGGAGAGGUAAGUGGAAUUCCUAGUGUAGCGGUGAAAUGCGUAGAGAUUAGGAAGAACACCAGUGGCGAAGGCGACUACUGGACUGUAACUGACGCUGAGGCAUGAAAGCGUGGGGAGCAAACAGGA
rnacentral:rRNA from 1 species